UACGGAAGGCAGCAGUGGGGAAUAUUGCACAAUGGGCGCAAGCCUGAUGCAGCCAUGCCGCGUGUAUGAAGAAGGCCUUAGGGUUGUAAAGUACUUUCAUCGGGGAGGAAAAAACAAAACUAAUAAUUUUAUUUCUUGACGUUACCCGAAAAAGAAGCACCGGCUAACUCCGUGCCAGCAGCCGCGGUAAUACGGAGGGUGCUAGCGUUAAUCAGAAUUACUGGGCGUAAAGAGCACGUAGGUGGUUUUUUUAAGUUCAGAUGUGAAAUCCCUGGGCUUAACCUGGAACUGCAUUUUGAAACUGAAAUACUAGAGUAUCGUAGAGGGAGGUAGAAUUCUAGGUGUAGCGGUGAAAUGCGUAGAUAUCUGGAGGAAUACCUGUGGCGAAAGCGGCCUCCUAAACGAAUACUGACACUGAGGUGCGAAAGCGUGGGGAGCAAACAGGGAUUAGAUACC
rnacentral:rRNA from 1 species